rnacentral:pre_miRNA from 1 species
UGGACAAAUUAUUGUAUUCGACUGUAUUCACGGCGUGAAACAUGAGAUUACACUGUUUUUAAACGGAAAGUGAAUCAAUUAACAUAAUAGACUCCU